rnacentral:rRNA from 1 species
GACGAACGCUGGCGGCGUGCUUAACACAUGCAAGUCGAACGGUAAGGCCCUUUCGUGGGUACACGAGCGGCGGACGGGUGCGUAACACGUGGGUGAUCUGCCCUGCCCUUUGGGAUAAGCCUGGGUAACUGGGUCUAAUACCGAUAAGGACUACGCGAUGCAUGCCGUUUGGUGGAAAGUUUUUGCGGUUUGGGAUGGGCCCGCGGCCUAUCUGCUUGUUGGUGGGGUGAGUGCCUACGAAGGCGGCGACGGGUAGCCGGCCUGAGAGGGUGUCCGGCCACAAUGGGACUGAGAUACGGACCAGAAUCCUACGGGAGGCAGCAGUGGGGAAUAUUGCACAAUGGGCGCAAGCCUGAUGCAGAGACGCCGCGUGGGGGAUGACGGCCUUCGGGUUGUAAACCACUUUCUGCAUAGACGAAGCGUUAGUGACGGUACGUGCAGAAGAAGCACCGGCUAACUACGUG